AACGAACGCUGGCGGCAUGCCUAACACAUGCAAGUCGAACGAGACCUUCGGGUCUAGUGGCGCACGGGUGCGUAACGCGUGGGAAUCUACCCUUGGGUUCGGAAUUACAGUUAGAAAUGACUGCUAAUACCGGAUGAUGACGUAAGUCCAAAGAUUUAUCGCCCAAGGAUGAGCCCGCGUAAGAUUAGCUUGUUGGUGGGGUAAUGGCCUACCAAGGCGACGAUCUUUAGCUGGUCUGAGAGGGUGAUCAGCCGCACUGGGACUGAGACACGGCCCAGACUCCUACGGGAGGCAGCAGUGGGGAAUAUUGGACAAUGGGCGAAAGCCUGAUCCAGCAAUGCCGCGUGAGUGAUGAAGGCCUUAGGGUUGUAAAGCUCUUUUACCAGGGAUGAUAAUGACAGUACCUAGAGAAUAAGCUCCGGCUAACUCCGUGCCAGCCGCCGCAGUAA
rnacentral:rRNA from 1 species